GGGUUGCUUUUUAAGCUCAGUUAGUAGAGCAUGAGGCUUUUAAUCUCAGGGUUGCAGGUUCACAUUGGGUGAAAUAUUCCUGCAUUCCAGGCCCCU